AUGAACGCUGGCGGCGUGCCUAAUACAUGCAAGUCGCGCGAACAGACGAGGAGCUUGCUCCUCUGACGUUAGCGGCGGACGGGUGAGUAACACGUGGAUAACCUACCUAUAAGACUGGGAUAACUUCGGGAAACCGGAGCUAAUACCGGAUAAUAUAUUGAACCGCAUGGUUCAAUAGUGAAAGACGGUUUUGCUGUCACUUAUAGAUGGAUCCGCGCCGCAUUAGCUAGUUGGUAAGGUAACGGCUUACCAAGGCAACGAUGCGUAGCCGACCUGAGAGGGUGAUCGGCCACACUGGAACUGAGACACGGUCCAGACUCCUACGGGAGGCAGCAGUAGGGAAUCUUCCGCAAUGGGCGAAAGCUUGACGGAGCAACGCCGCGUGUGUGAUGAAGGUCUUCGGAUCGUAAAACUCUGUUAUUAGGGAAGAACAAAUGUGUAAGUAACUAUGCACGUCUUGACGGUACCUAAUCAGAAAGCCACGGCUAACUACGUG
rnacentral:rRNA from 1 species